rnacentral:rRNA from 1 species
GAUGAACGCUGGCGGCGUGCCUAAUACAUGCAAGUCGAGCGAACAGACGAGGAGCUUGUUCCUCUGACGUUAGCGGCGGACGGGUGAGUCACACGUGGAUAACCUACCUAUAAGACUGGGAUAACUUCGGGAAACCGGAGCUAAUCCCGGAUAAUAUAUUGAACCGCAUGGUUCAUUAGUGAAAGACGGUUUUGCUGUCACUUAUCGAUGGAUCCGCGCCGCAUUAGCUGGUUGGUAAGGUAACGGCUUACCAAGGCAACGAUGCGUAGCCGACCUGAGAGGGUGAUCGGCCACACUGGAACUGAGACACGGUCCAGGCUCCUACGGGAGGCAGCAGUAGGGAAUCGUCCGCAAUAGGCGAAAGCCUGACGGAGCAACGCCGCGUGAGUGAUGAAGGUCUUCGGAUCGUAAAACUCUGUUAUUAGUGAAGAACAAAUGUGUAAGUAACUAUGCACGUCUUGACGGUACCUAAUCAGAAAGCCACGGCUAACUACGUG